rnacentral:rRNA from 1 species
UACGUAGGGGGCAAGCGUUGUCCGGAAUUAUUGGGCGUAAAGAGCGCGUAGGCGGUCUGAUAAGUCGGUUGUGAAAGUCGGGGGCUCAACCCUCGGAUGCCGAUCGAUACUGUCAGGCUAGAGUCCGGAAGAGGCGAGUGGAAUUCCUGGUGUAACGGUGAAAUGCGCAGAUAUCAGGAGGAACACCAAUGGCGAAGGCAGCUCGCUGGGACGGUACUGACGCUGAGGCGCGAAAGCGUGGGGAGCAAACAGG